rnacentral:rRNA from 1 species
ACACUCCUACGGGAGGCAGCAGUGGGGAAUUUUCCGCAAUGGGCGAAAGCCUGACGGAGCAAUACCGCGUGGGGGAGGAAGGCUCUUGGGUUGUAAACUCCUUUUCUCAGGGAAGAAAAAAAUGACGGUACAUGAGGAAUAAGCAUCGGCUAAAUCCGUGCCAGCAGCCGCGGUAAUACGGAGGAUGCAAGCGUUAUCCGGAAUCAUUGGGCGUAAAGCGUCCGCAGGGGGCAUUUCAAGUCUGCUGUCAAAGGUCGGGGCUUAACGCCGAACAGGCAGUGGAAACUGAAGCGCUCGAGUGCGGUAGGGGCAGAGGGAAUUCCUGGUGUAGCGGUGAAAUGCGUAGAGAUCAGGAAGAACACCGGUGUCGAGAGCGCUCUGCUAGGCCGCAACUGACACUCAGGGACGAGAGCUAGGGGAGCGAGUGGGAUUAGAGACCCGGGUAGUCCCAU